AUCAACUUUCGAUGGUAGGAUAGAGGCCUACCAUGGUGGUAACGGGUAACGGGGUGUUAGGGCACGACACCGGAGAGGGAGCCUGAGAAACGGCUACCACAUCCAAGGAUGGCAGCAGGCGCGCAAAUUACCCAAUCCCGACACGGGGAGGUAGUGACAAUAAAUAACAAUACGGGGUCCUUUGGGUCUCGUAAUUGGAAUGAGUACAAUUUAAAUCUCUUAACGAGGAACAAUUGGAGGGCAAGUCUGGUGCCAGCAGCCGCGGUAAUUCCAGCUCCAAUAGCGUAUAUUAAAGUUGUUGCAGUUAAAAAGCUCGUAGUUGAAUUUCGGGGUCGGUAGGUUGGUCAUGCCAUCGGUAUGCACUGGUCUCACCGAUUCCUCCCUCUUGUAGAAGCGUAAUGCCAUUAAUUUGGUGUUGCGGGGAAACAGGACUGUUACUUUGAAAAAAUUAGAGUGUUUAAAGCAGGCUCGCGCUUGAAUACAUUAGCAUGGAAUAAUGAAAUAGGACGUUUGAUUCUAUUUUGUUGGUUUCUGGGAUUGACGUAAUGAUUAAUAGGGAUAGUUGGGGGCAUUAGUAUUCAAUUGUCAGAGGUGAAAUUCUUGGAUUUAUUGAAGACUAACUACUGCGAAAGCAUUUGCCAAGGAUGUUUUCAUUAAUCAAGAACGAAAGUUAGGGGAUCGAAGACGAUCAGAUACCGUCGUAGUCUUAACCAUAAACUAUGCCGACUAGGGAUCGGAUGAUGUUAAUUUUUUAAUGACUCAUUCGGCGCCUUACGGGAAACCAAAGUGUUUGGGUUC
rnacentral:rRNA from 1 species